UUUUUUUUUUUUUUUUUAUUCUUCCUGACAACUGCAGGAGUUGGAAAGAUUUGUUUAUUUAUUUAAAAUAUGGGGUUGCCUAUAAUGAUGAGCAAUAGUUGCAGCUAAGUUUGUUUUUUUUAAGUUCAUUUCUAAGUUAAACAGAAAUGAGAAUUUUUUCAACUUUUAUUUAUUAUGAGCUGCAACUAAUAUGAAUGUGGGCCAUGAUGACUGGCAUGUCAGUGUCAGUUUUGGUCAAUUUGUGGGGGAUCACCUAUGGAUCCGUAUGAUUUAUGUAAAGGCAACAAGUAUGUUAUUUUUUACUCUUACUAACAACUGCAGAAGUUGGGAGGAUCUUUUCAUUUAUUUAUAAAAUUGGUUGCCCAUAAUUGUCAUGACAUAGUUGCAGCUAAUUUUGUUUAUUUUAGCUCAUUUCUAAGUUAAACUGAAAUGAGAAUAUACUUUUUCAACUUUUAUUUAUUACGAGCUGCAGCUAAUAUUAAUUAUACCUGACCUGUUCAUGCUAAUUCUUAAAAUGAUACUGAUAUCUAAACAACUUUCAUUGUACCAAGAGUUAACCCCACCUUUCACAUGAUGAAGAUGUAAGCAUGUUGUCUCAUUAUUCUGUGCAUAUAAAUGGGUGGGGUACAACUAGUAUCAUAUUACAUUCUCAUGUGUGAAAAUUACAACAUGCUUGGACUCAUUGUAGAAUAAGAUACCACCAAAGAUUAAGGAAAGGAAACCUGUUGCAGAUCCACAACCACCAGGAAGGACAAGUUACACACUCAAAAUGCUCAAGCUCCUCCUGUGGAUUUUACUGCACAUAUCUGUGUUGGAUGACAAAUUAUCAUUGUCUCCAGUAAGCUGCUCUGACACCAGUGGUGACUUAGAUAACUAAUUUUGUCAACACACUUCAACAUUUGUUUUAUGGACCAGAAUUACCACAAAAAUGACUCUCUGAUGUUCAGAAUUUGGAAAACCUGUGUCAGAGAUUAAAAUGUCAAACUGUCUUGCCAACAACUUGUUUGAAUAUGGAGUUUUUGGGAUGUCAGUACCUGUGGACAAACUUCUCAAUAUGAUACAAUUGCUGGCAAAGACAGCACAUAGAAAGAAAGACAGUUAAAUGAACUGCAGUCUUUGUUAGGUUUGUUUAAUUUUGCUUGUAAAGUGGUAGCACUCAUGAAUUUUGAUACUCUUAAUAGAUUAAAAUUGUCAUGUUCCUAAAUAAACUCAGUACUUAAAAUUAGUGUGCUGACAUUUAAACAUGGCAUCUCCUUAUUGAUCAUUUUGAUGGCAAAUCUAUUUUUUUAUUGGGAUGAAUGGAUUUCUUCACAGAAAUUUUGUAUGUAUACCUAUGCAUCUGGUAGUUGGGCUUUGCAUCUGUAUAUGGGUCAUUAUGGUCUGUGCAAUCUUGGCUAGGCAUUCAAACAGUUAAUCACAUUUUUAUAAAGAGCUUUUCCAUAUUGUCUUCUGGAUGGAAAUUUAGCUUCCUUAUUUGAGUAAUCAAAAAUUUUGGCUGAUAUUAUAGCUGUUGUUGGAGUUGUCAAUAAAAAAUUGUCAAGCAGGGACAAAACAUGAAUUAGUUGUUGCUGCAUUUGAUUUCAAUCAUAUCUAAAGGAAAGUUAUCAAAGGUCCCCAAACAGUUAGAGACAACUGCUGACACUAAAUUUUCAAUCACAACAUUAUUCUUAUCAUAUUUUUAUCUGCUUUAUAUCAAAAAGCAGAUAGGAAUCUUUUUGUUGGCACUCUACCUCCUUGCCUUUCAUGCUUUCAUGCACUUAGGUGAACAAUGCAAAUUGAGCACAGAUCGCACUCAGGUAAUCCAAAAUCAAAUGAUAGGCACUCGAUAACAAUUACCUUGACAGACAAUAACCUGAAUUGUCAGUUUGUCCAUUCAAGUUUCGAAACUGUAUAUUGCUCAAUAUCAACACACAUCUGGCCCUUUAUUCACCUUCAAAUCUGGUGAACCAGUUCCUCACACUUUUAUGGCAUAUCCCUUGUAACAUGUUAUAAAUUUUAAAGGCUUUGAUUCCUCCUUUAAUUCAGAUAUUGUUUUGCAUUUGUGCUGCCACAGAGGUGGCACAGAACGAAUUGUCUGAAAAUGUCAUUCACCAACUUGAUUGUUGGCACUAUAAUGCAAGUAGGCAUUACAUUAGGAUAAAUACUUUCAAAUUCAAAUUUGCCAAACUUGGUCUUAAGGAUUGCAAAGUUAAACAUGUACUGCCACCGAACAUCAUAAAUAGAGAAGUCAGCAUCUGGCAGUUCUCUAUGUUGGUAAGUAAGAUUAGGCAAUGUAUUAGCUUCUGAUGUAACAUUAUUCAUUGCUCUAUCAUUAAUUUUGUAAAUUUGAUCAUGAGACCAGCAUAAAUUUGAUCAUGAGACCAGCAUAUGGCUGCUCAAAUAGUUGUACAUCCUCUAUAGUCAUCAACUCUGUAUAAUUCAGUUUAAAUUGAUAGGAGGUCAGCACAUGGCUGCUUAUAUAAUCUGUAUUUUAGAAAGUGAGCUCAGCAUUGAUGUACUUACAAUGUUUUACAUAGACUGCUUAUUAAUGUCAAUGAGUCCAGCAUAUGGCGGCUCAUAUAAACUGUAAUCUAGUCUGUGAGGUCAGCAUAGCUUUGCUCAAAAUGUGUUACUUAAAGUAUGUACCAUGUUCGUGAGGUCAGCAUGUAGCUGCUCAUGUAAAUUGUAUGUUAAUCAUGAGCUCCACAUAUUGUGAUCUUAAAUUUUAUCUGCAAAGACUGUGAGCUAAGGCACAAGAGUUUAGCAUAUGGCUGCCCAUAUAAUCUGUAUUUUGUCAGUUAGGUCUGCAUAGUUUUGCUUCUAAAUGUGUUUAACUAUGUACCAAUGUUCAUGAGGUCAGCAUAUGGUUGCUCAUGUAAACUGUACAUUAAAAUUGUCUGCAUAGACUGUGAGCUAGGAUACAUGAGGUCAGCAUAUGGCUGCUCAUGUAAAUUGUUUGUUAAAAUCUGCCUGCAUUGACUUGACCUAAGAUACAUGAGGUCAGCAUAUGGCUGCUCAUGUAAAUUGUAUUUAAAAAUGUGCCUGCAUUGACUGUGAUCUAUAAUACAUGAGGUCAGCAUAUGGCUGUUCAUGUAAACUGUAUGUUAAAAUCUUCCUGCAUAGACAGUGAGUUAAGCUACACGAGGUCAGCAUAUGGCUGCUCAUGUAAAAUGUUUGUUAAAAUCUGCCUGCAUUGACUUGAGUUAAGAUACAUAAGGUCAGCAUAUGGCUGCUCAUGUAAAUUGUAUUAUAAAAUCUGCCUGCAUGGUACUCGAGGUCAGCAUAUGGCUGCUCAUAUAAUCUGUAUUCUAGUCAUGAGCUCAACAUAAAUUUGUUUAUAAAUAAUGUGCAUGAGGUCAGCAUAUAACUGCUCAUAUAAACUGUAUUUAGUCCAUGCAUGUAUAUUUUUAGUCAUUGAGGUAUACAUGUUUGGUUCAGGUUUAUGCACCAUUUUGUAUACAUUAUAUUAAUAAACAUUGUUUUUAUACAUUCUAAAAUUUUAUACAGUUAAUUGUAAAAUUGAUUAUUUUAGUGUUACCAUAGUCAAUUAAAUACUUUUCACAAAAACUCCUUUUUGGCAACUUUCAGUUCAAUGUAAUUCAAAUGAAAAUGCCUUUUCCUUGGGUGGCGCUGCAUGCGUCAUGCAAGCAUUUAGCAUGCUUUGUGGCCUCUUUUUGUACGCCACCUUCUUGUUGCACAAACUUUGUAAUCAUUAUACAUAUAUAACAAUAGCUGGGAUAAGCACUAAGUUGCAAUGUAACAUAUCUAAAUUGAAAUUAUUCAUCAUUUGACCUUAUCCCAGCUUUUAAUGUACAUUAUUGUAAUUGUAUAUUAUACAUGCUUUUGUUUCACUUCUCGUCAUUUAUCUUGGCAAUAAAUGACAUAUUCACUCAGCUUAAGUUUUUCUGUUUUCCUUAAGUGGUUUAAGCAACAAGAACAAGCUUCAGAAAAGGCAUUGAACUUUACUAAAGUGUGUAAUUUGUUUAAUGAAAAAGUUGUGAAUAUAAAUAAAAUUUUAUGUUUCAUAAAAUGUUUUAUAUGCAAGCUUUUUACAUUGUUAAUGUCAAGUCAAUUAAAUUUUGUAGUUAUUAUUAGUAUGUUGUAUUAAGGUCGGGUUCAACUUAAAUCGGGAUCGAGUUCCCAAUAUUUAAAUCCGGUGGAAACACGAGGUUAUGGUAAUUUUAACCACCACCUCCCUUCCUCCUCCCAUGUAUAAUUAUGUUAGUGGGAAAUGUUUGUAAUUGAGAAACUUAUGUUUUAAGUAUCCUUAUUAUAUAGGUUUAAUGCACUUAUUCUUCAUGUAAACUGUGUUUUCUCUCUGCGAUUUACAAUAUAUUUGAACUUGUUUUUAAAUUAUUCCUGUUAGUAACAUACACGUGGCGCCUCUUUUUGUACGCCACCUUCUUGUUGCACAAACUUUGUAAUCAUUAUACAUAUAUAACAAUAGCUGGGAUAAGCACUAAGUUGCAAUGUAACAUAUCUAAAUUGAAAUUAUUCAUCAUUUGACCUUAUCCCAGCUUUUAAUGUACAUUAUUGUAAUUGUAUAUUAUACAUGCUUUUGUUUCACUUCUCGUCAUUUAUCUUGGCAAUAAAUGACAUAUUCACUCAG